UUAUUUUUUUAUGUGUUUGCAGAACACAAAUUCGUCAUUUGUAUCUCAAUCAACGUAGAAAAGUCCUAUUGUGUCACAAUGUCAUGCCUUCUUGAAUAUUUUUAUCAUGUGUGUUUGCUAUUGCUCUAUUCAAUUUUCAUGAUUUUGUGCUUAAUUUCUUUUAAAAUACUUUUAUGGAUAGAUUUGAAUAUUUGACUAUCUUUGAAAUACUCCCUCCGUCCCAAAUUAUAAAGGAAAAAAGCCCAUUUUUUUGUCCCAAAUUAUAAGAGAAAAAAUAUAAUUGUAAAGCAAACUUUUUUUUUUUGUUGAUGUGUCAUCUCUACAAAAACUCUUAUGCUUAUGUGUCAUCUCUACAAAACUCAUAUUUUUUCAUAUACAUUGUCAUUGUAUAUACUCUUAUGUUUCCUUCAUGUUUGUAACUCCCAAAUAACUUUCUCAUUAAUUUUUAUGGCCUAAAUCAUAUGAAAAGUUGUAAAUUUUUUGAAACGGUACACUCUUUUAAUAUUAGUAAUCUUUUGCUAUUUUCCUAUCAAAAAAUCUUCUUAGCCUUUCAAUUCCCACAAAAAAUUAAAACAUGACAUUAAUUGACUAUAUAUAUAUGUGCCUUAUGAACAAUUUCUUGGUAGAUAUGAGUUUGUGGACUUUCAAUUUGAGAGGUGUGUGUAUUCCAGAAGGAGAAUAAUAAUCAAAGCUUUCUGAGGCGUGCAAAUAGAGUGGUCGAUUGCUACCGCAACAUAUAAAGGCUUUUUGAGGCGUGCAAAUGGAGUGGUUGAUUGCUACCGCAACAUAUAAAGGGUAACAUUUAAGCUUGAAGUGACAGAUGCAUGUUUGGAUACAAGUUAUGCCAUCGGGAACUUUAGUAAGCUGUCAUAAAAUUAAAAAAUAUAGUUGUACAAUUGUAGAAUUUGAUAUAUUGUUGUGGAAUUAAUUUAAUUCCAAACCUUUUUUCAAACUUCUUUGGAUUGAGCUAGAUAGAUGACAUGUAUAUGUAUGAUGAAAAGAUAAGAUUAAUGAUAAU